AUGCUUGCGGGGCAGGGGAGAUCCCAUGAUCACCAAGGUGGUUUUCCCAGGGGAGGCCUGCCCCUUGCACUCGGGGCAGCCGUCUGACCCCUGAGAGUUUCCCCACAUGCAGGAAACUGGACUGCAACAGUUUGGGGACUGGUUUCUGGCUUUCUCCCCG